rnacentral:rRNA from 1 species
GACGAACGCUGGCGGCGUGCUUAACACAUGCAAGUCGAACGGAAAGGCCCUGCUUUUGUGGGGUGCUCGAGUGGCGAACGGGUGAGUAACACGUGAGUAACCUGCCCUUGACUUUGGGAUAACUUCAGGAAACUGGGGCUAAUACCGGAUAGGAGCUCCUGCUGCAUGGUGGGGGUUGGAAAGUUUCGGCGGUUGGGGAUGGACUCGCGGCUUAUCAGCUUGUUGGUGGGGUAGUGGCUUACCAAGGCUUUGACGGGUAGCCGGCCUGAGAGGGUGACCGGCCACAUUGGGCCUGAGAUACGGCCCAGACUCCUACGGGAGGCAGAAGUGGGGAAUAUUGCACAGUGGGCGGAAGCCUGAUGCAGCAACGCCGCGUGCGGGAUGACGGCCUUCGGGUUGUAAACCGCUUUCGCCUGUGACGAAGCGUGAGUGACGGUAACGGGUAAAGAAGCACCGGCUAACUACGUG